rnacentral:misc_RNA from 1 species
AACCAUAGAAACCUGCGGAGUACCUGCGGCGGGAUCAUUACAGAGUUGCAAAACUCCCUAAACCAUUGUGAACGUUACCUAAACCGUUGCUUCGGCGGGCGGCCCGGGUCCUUCCCGGCGCCCAUCGGCCCUCGCGGGCGCCCGCCGGAGGUAAACCAAACUAUUGCAUUGUAUGGCCUCUCUGAGUCUUCUGUACUGAAUAAGUCAAAACUUUCAACAACGGAUCUCAGAUCGGAAGAG